rnacentral:rRNA from 1 species
UACGUAGGGUGCAAGCGUUGUCCGGAAUUAUUGGGCGUAAAGAGCUCGUAGGUGGUCUGUUGCGUCCGCUGUGAAAACCUAAGGCUUAACCUUGGGCCUGCAGUGGAUACGGGCAGACUAGAGGUAGGUAGGGGAGAAUGGAAUUCCCGGUGUAGCGGUGAAAUGCGCAGAUAUCAGGAGGAACACCGGUGGCGAAGGCGGGUCUCUGGGCCGAUACGGACGCUGAGGAGCGAAAGCGUGGGGAGCGAACAGG